GUUGUCCGGAUUCACUGGGCGUAAGCGCGCGCAGGCGGUGAUGUAAGUCUGAGGUGAAAACCCGAAGCUCAACUUCGGGACUGCCUUGGAUACUGCGUCACUUGAGGAUAGGAGAGGCAAGGGGAAUUCCACGUGUAGCGGUGAAAUGCGUAGAGAUGUGGAGGAACACCUGUGGCGAAGGCGCCUUGCUGGCCUAUUUCUGACGCUGAGGCGCGAAAGCGGUGGGGAGAC
rnacentral:rRNA from 1 species